UACGAAGGGGGCUAGCGUUGCUCGGAAUUACUGGGCGUAAAGCGCACGUAGGCGGUCUUUUAAGUCGGUGGUGAAAUCCUGGAGCUCAACUCCAGAACUGCCUUCGAUACUGGAAGACUUGAGUCCGGGAGAGGUGAGUGGAACUGCGAGUGUAGAGGUGAAAUUCGUAGAUAUUCGCAAGAACACCAGUGGCGAAGGCGGCUCACUGGCCCGGUACUGACGCUGAGGUGCGAAAGCAUGGGGAGCAAACAGG
rnacentral:rRNA from 1 species